UGGACUUGGAUGUGAACUCCAGGAGCUGCUUGUGGUGACAGUGGUUCUUCAGUUUCCUGGUUUCAUCUCUUUACAAGGACCAUCUUUGGGCAUUGUGUUCUUCUCCAGUGUUUAUCUCUGUCUUUUAUUAGGGAUGGUGGGCGGUGGAUGUUCUAUUGAUCCUUGAAGGAGAGAUGCUUGUUCACAGGGGGGUCAGAGGUGAGGGUCAGCACUAGAGAGAUCAGUGGUCAGUGAAGGACGCUGCAGAAGAGGCUGCUCGCUGCCUCAGUGACGGUCCAAGUCAAUUAAACUGAUGCUGCACAUUUGAUUGUGUCUGUGAAGGCAUGUGGAAAAACUGACUUCCCUCCCUGUCUUUAUUUUUACCACUUAUGCACUUACAGCCCUGAGACUUACUGUGCUGGCCUUCACAUGCUAAUGUCUGCGUUCUCGGCUUAGUUCCUCCUCAGCCAUGCACAUGUGAAAACCAGUAUUUCAACACGACGGAAUUUCCAGUGGCUGCAAGUGACAGCUCUUUUUAUUUGACAAGCAUUGCAAUGAUAUGGCUCUGAGAUUACACUUGGGUGUUGGUUGUCUGUAGCCUUAUGCUCAGAGAAGACUGAAAACACAGACACCGCUGCUGUGAAAGGUUGUGUGAAGGUGAUGAUUCAUUCAUGAGGGAUCCUGAGCACUUUGUUAUGAGUUUCACUUGCUCACGCUGACAUGCACCACACAAAACUUUUUGUCUAUAAGCAAACCAUGCAACACAAUCGGAUGGCCCUGCCUGUAUGACUCAAAGAAUUGUGCUGAUUGAUUUCAGAAUUAUUUUUCCCCUUGAGCACAAACACCUUCAGAUUUUCACCUGAUGUGAUUAUCUAUUUCAUCUAAUUUCUUUAAGACCCAAAGGAGGUAAUAUUGUGUGUCAUGUUGUUGUGAGUUGGUCUAUAUUUACAUGUAAAAUUAUCACUGUCUGUUUGUAUGGGAAACACAUAUUGAAAGACAGGUUGAAAGAAAGAAAGCUGUAACCAGAAUACAGUAUAUGCAGGUCAAAUAAACAGCAAUUCCAAACAGAGAUGUAUUGUCUGUAAAUCUAGUGACAAAGAUGCUAAUUAAGAUGCUUAUGAUAAUCACUCCCCAGAUGACGUAA